rnacentral:rRNA from 1 species
UACGGAGGAUGCGAGCGUUAUCCGGAUUUAUUGGGUUUAAAGGGUGCGUAGGCGGCAUUAUAAGUUAGUGGUAAAAUAUUGGGGCUUCACCUCACUACGCCAUUAAUACUGUAGAGCUAGAGAACAGACGAGGUAGGCGGAAUAAGUUAAGUAGCGGUGAAAUGCAUAGAUAUCACGCAGAACUCCGAUUGCGAAGGCAGCAUACCGGCGCCCAACUGACGCUGAAGCACGAAAGCGUGGGUAUCGAACAGG